GAACGCGAAGAACCUUACCUAGGCUUGACAUUGAGAGAAUCCGCUAGAAAUAGUGGAGUGUCUAGCUUGCUAGACCUUGAAAACAGGUGCUGCACGGCUGUCGUCAGCUCGUGUCGUGAGAUGUUGGGUUAAGUCCCGCAACGAGCGCAACCCCCUUUCUUAGUUGCUAACAGGUUAUGCUGAGAACUCUAAGGAUACUGCCUCCGUAAGGAGGAGGAAGGUGGGGACGACGUCAAGUCAUCAUGGCCCUUACGCCUAGGGCUACACACGUGCUACAAUGGGGUGCACAAAGAGAAGCAAUACUGCGAAGUGGAGUCAAUCUUCAAAACACCUCUCAGUUCGGAUUGUAGGCUGCAACUCGCCUGCAUGAAGCUGGAAUCGCUAGUAAUCGCAAAUCAGCCAUGUUGCGGUGAAUACGUUCCCGGGUCUUGUACACACC
rnacentral:rRNA from 1 species